AGUGAACGCUGGCGGUAGGCCUAACACAUGCAAGUCGAACGGCAGCACAGUAAGAGCUUGCUCUUACGGGUGGCGAGUGGCGGACGGGUGAGGAAUACAUCGGAAUCUACUUUUUCGUGGGGGAUAACGUAGGGAAACUUACGCUAAUACCGCAUACGACCUACGGGUGAAAGCAGGGGAUCUUCGGACCUUGCGCGAUUGAAUGAGCCGAUGUCGGAUUAGCUAGUUGGCGGGGUAAAGGCCCACCAAGGCGACGAUCCGUAGCUGGUCUGAGAGGAUGGUCAGCCGCCUGGGAAGGUGACCAGCGACCAUGCGACUGAGGGGGGGACCAGUUGGGAAUGGUAGGCAAUAGGGGGGAGUCUUGCACAACCAUCCCGAGUCGGAUGAAGAAGCCCUCCGGGUGUGAAGACCUUUUUUUGGGAAAAAAAAGCAGUCGGCUGAGACCCCGCGUGUCUGACGGUAACCGAAAAAGAAGCACCGGCUAACUUCGUG
rnacentral:rRNA from 1 species